rnacentral:rRNA from 1 species
CAUAGGUUUGGUCCCAGCCUUCCUGUUAACUCUUAAUAAACUUACACAUGCAAGCAUCUACACCCCAGUGAGAAUGCCCUCUAGGUUAUUAAAACUAAGAGGAGCUGGCAUCAAGCACACACCCUGUAGCUCACGACGCCUUGCUUAACCACACCCCCACGGGAAACAGCAGUGACAAAAAUUAAGCCAUAAACGAAAGUUUGACUAAGUUAUAUUAAUUAGGGUUGGUAAAUCUCGUGCCAGCCACCGCGGUCAUACGAUUAACCCAAGCUAACAGGAGUACGGCGUAAAACGUGUUAAAGCACCAUACCAAAUAGGGUUAAAUUCUAACUAAGCUGUAAAAAGCCAUGAUUAAAAUAAAAAUAAAUGACGAAAGUGACCCUACAAUAGCCGACGCACUAUAGCUAAGACCCAAACUGGGAUUAGAUACCCCACUAUGCUUAGCCCUAAACACAGAUAAUUACAUAAACAAAAUUAUUCGCCAGAGUACUUACUAGCAACAGCUUAAAACUCAAAGGACUUGGCGGUGCUUUAUAUCCUUCUAGAGGAGCCUGUUCUAUAUAAUC